ACUCUCUCGCUCGGAUGGUUCAUUGCUGUCUUUUGAUUGGUGCCCAAACGUCCCCUGGAGAAUUGUUGCGUCCCUGGGGGUGCUAAGGAGAGGACCAUGUGCCAGUGCCUCCUCAGAAGGGGGGAGCAGCAUUAUUUCUUGACAUGAUAUCCAUUUCUUCAGGCCUCAGUUUAGAGAAGCUUAAAUGUCCUUCAGAGGAACUUCCAGCUGUGGACACUCACCUCAUCACCUCCCAGCCUAUUUAAGGAGAUCCAGCUCCAUUCCUCCAUUCAUCACCAGUUCGUUCGUAGCCCCCUAUGGACUAAUUACCACGAGUGUCCUGGAAUUCUAGCCUCCAGCCACGCCACGGCUCCAACCGAGUCAAGAUCCCCAAGCCACGCCACAACUGCCACGCCAGUAUCAUCUCCCCAUCGGUCAAUCUCCAAUAAACUCACCCUUGGAUCCUCGUCCAGAAAAAUAAAUUCCUUUAUUCGCCA